rnacentral:lncRNA from 1 species
AUGUCGCUGCUGUGGAAUGUGAGACCCAGGGCUGUUUACACAGGGAGCUGGCAGGGAUGGCCAGCCUCCUGGCUGCCUCUGUCCACUCUCCGUUCUCUAGCUCAUUAACAUUCUUGACAUUUGACUUGAAGGUAGUAUUUCAGAAGACUCGGAUGCAGCUUUUGUAAACAAACAUAAUAUUCCUGGGGUCCUGGUCAGUUUUGUGCCAACUUGACUCAAGCUGGUGUUGUUUGGGAAGAGGAACCUCAACUGAAAAAAUGUCGCCAUCAGAUUGCCUGUAGCUUAAUGUCAAGACAAACACAUGGAAAAUGUGCAAAGAAUUUUCUGAAGAAUAUAUACAAAUAGUCAACAAACACAUGAAAAGACACCCAACAUCACUACUCAUCAAGGAAACACAAAAGAAAGUCACUCUGAACCCAGCCAGAAUGUCUACAAUCAAAAAGACUAAAGGCAACAACUAUUGGCAAGGUUGGAGAGGAAUUGGAACCCUCUUACAUUGCUGGAGAGCAUGUAAAAUGGUGUGUCUGCUUUGGAAAACAUUUUGGCACAUCUUCACAAUGUUAAACACAGAGUUAUUAUAUGACCCAGCAAUUCUGUUCCUAGGUAUAUGUAUCCAAGAGAAUUAAAAACAUAUGUCUACAGAAAAACUUGGACUCAAAUGUUCCUAGUAGCUAUGUUCAUUGUGGCUAUUAUUCACAAUUGCCAAAAAGUGGGAACAAUUUAAUAUCCAUCAACUGCAGGGAUAAAUAAAAUGCUGUGUGUCUGUGUGCAAACACGUUUUAUUAGAAAGACAGUCUUUGAUUUUUGAAGAUUAGAAGUUAUACACAAAGUUGGAGAGAGCAAAACCCAUUUGCAGUUCUAUGAGCUGAGUAGCAAUAUUUUAGAUGGUCGUUCAUGUGUUCAUUCAUUCCCAUCUCUUUAAAUACUAGCAAAAUUAGAAUUGGCUGUCUGUAAUAGCUUAAGGCACACUCAUUUUACAAUAAAAUAUUGUGGAUCCCUUUCCACGGCAAUAAAUAUUAUUUUACUUUAAAGUAGAAAA